UCUCCUGUAGCUCAGUGGUAGAGCGUCCUACCUGUGUGCGGAAGGUCACAGGUUCGACAGUUUUCUGUUGGGAGAA